rnacentral:rRNA from 1 species
AUUGAACGCUGGCGGCAGGCCUAACACAUGCAAGUCGAGCGGAUGAUGGGAGCUUGCUCCUGGAUUCAGCGGCGGACGGGUGAGUAAUGCCUAGGAAUCUGCCUGGUAGUGGGGGACAACGUUUCGAAAGGAACGCUAAUACCGCAUACGUCCUACGGGAGAAAGCAGGGGACCUUCGGGCCUUGCGCUAUCAGAUGAGCCUAGGUCGGAUUAGCUAGUUGGUGGGGUAAAGGCCUACCAAGGCGACGAUCCGUAACUGGUCUGAGAGGAUGAUCAGUCACACUGGAACUGAGACACGGUCCAGACUCCUACGGGAGGCAGCAGUGGGGAAUAUUGGACAAUGGGCGAAAGCCU